rnacentral:rRNA from 1 species
UACGAAGGGGGCAAGCGUUGUUCGGAAUUACUGGGCGUAAAGGGCGCGUAGGCGGUGCAUUAAGUCAGGCGUGAAAGCCCUGGGCUCAACCCGGGAAUUGCGCUUGAUACUGGUGCGCUUGAAUCCAGGAGAGGUUGGUGGAAUUCCCAGUGUAGAGGUGAAAUUCGUAGAGAUUGGGAAGAACACCGGUGGCGAAGGCGGCCAACUGGACUGGUAUUGACGCUGAUGCGCGAAAGCGUGGGGAGCAAACAGG